AUGAACGCUGGCUACAGGCUUAACACAUGCAAGUCGAGGGGAAACGACGGGGAAGCUUGCUUCCCCGGGCGUCGACCGGCGCACGGGUGAGUAACGCGUAUCCAACCUGCCUCUGACUGAGGGAUAACCCGUCGAAAGUCGGCCUAAUACCUCAUGGCAUCGUCUGCGGGCAUCCAACGACGAUUAAAGAUUUCAUCGGUCAGAGAUGGGGAUGCGUCUGAUUAGCUUGUUGGCGGGGUAACGGCCCACCAAGGCGACGAUCAGUAGGGGUUCUGAGAGGAAGGUCCCCCACAUUGGAACUGAGACACGGUCCAAACUCCUACGGGAGGCAGCAGUGAGGAAUAUUGGUCAAUGGGCGAGAGCCUGAACCAGCCAAGUAGCGUGCAGGAUGACGGCCCUAUGGGUUGUAAACUGCUUUUAUGCGGGGAUAAAGUGGGGGACGUGUCCUUCAUUGCAGGUACCGCAUGAAUAAGGACCGGCUAAUUCCGUG
rnacentral:rRNA from 1 species